UUUCUUCUAUUCUUCUAUACGUUAGUGUUCUAACCAAUAAUCACCAAUGCGAUGUCCUGUCCGAUCGAUUCAGGAACCAUCUAAUAAAUGCCAAAGUGUUGUACCUUGUGAAUUUCGGUAAACGGAAUCCAAAGUGCUAUACAUUGUGAAUUUUGUUAAGGUUCGAAUCUCGUGACUACCGUUAAGGUUUGAUUUGGGUUUUACACAAAUACGUAUUCCAUUCUAUGUUUAACUACCAGAAUACUCCCAACUACACACUUACAAUCAAACAAGCUGUUAAAUCACCAGAAGAUUUAGAACUAUAAAGUAUACUCUUAAUUAUCAGAAGGAGUAGAAUCAAGAAGCUUGUUAAAUCAAUACUGCAUGCUUAUGAAGUAAUUACAGUAGAUCGGAAUAAGAGAUGGAUACGGCACCAAAAGGCUUACAGAAGUGGCUUGAUUUAUCAAUUAAAUUAAAUUAAGAAUUACCAUUUUAUGUAUUCGGGUUUAUUCCAUUUUAAAAGCUACCUUUAUAAAAACAUGGAUUUAUCCCAUCUAUUAAUAAAUAAAAUCCGGUGUUUCUAAACUCUGAUAUUUUUCCCAACUCACGGUCCUGAUGAAAUUUCCGCUGCAAUGUUUUCAAAAUAAAUAACCACCGGUACCACUUGGCUGCUCGCGGCUCCCGAUUCCGUCCAGGGUGGAUCGGGGGUCGUGACAUCUACUAAGAGUAUUUUUGUCAUAUAUUUGAGUUAAGGCCAGCCAGUUCAACAUUUUGUUUUUACUUCCAUGUUUUUGCGAAACUUUUCGAGUAACUUCGUUAUUACAAUGUUCUCUUUGGAAUUAUUUUCCCAUGCACAAUAACAAUGUUCUUUGAUACAUGAAAGUUGACAGACAUAACAAUAUAUACUGUAUCUGAGUAUUCACAUGUAUGUACUGUACUUUUACCUUCACACUAUACCAUAUAUGUCAUGUACUAUAUUUUUGUUACAAUGCAAAUCAGAGAUAGAAAUAAAGCACAUACUCAAU
rnacentral:lncRNA from 1 species